rnacentral:rRNA from 1 species
CACCGCCCGUCACACCAUGGGAGUGGAUUGCACCAGAAGUGGCUACGCUAACCGCAAGGAGGCAGGCCCCUAAGGUGUGGUUCAUGACUGGGGUG